UCGACACUGUACGCUUGUUUCGUAAGACAGAAGUGACGUGCCACAAUUUUUCAAUUACACUUUUUAUUGUGUAUACUUGGAGCCAUUGUUGCUAGACUACGCAAAAGCUUACAAUAGCUUGAUUAUACUGUGCAUUUCUGAUGCAACGGGAGUAUAUCUAAAUGGAUUUUAUUUUUUUAUUUUUUUUUACAAUUCGUUAACCACAGCAUUUGCAAUAAAAUGUCUCUUUCUCACCAUCAGUGUAACCGCCAGCUGAGGUUCUAAGGUGAAAACUCAUGAAUACAAACAUCAGUCUUCUCCUUUUCUUUCAGGGUUGUGUUGUCAGAUCCCAGAGCUCCAAACAGUAGAAGGGGCAGCCAGAGGGGACGUGACCAGUGGGAGAGAGGUCUGGCUGGGUUAGCUGAACUAUGCUUUGGCCUCCUUCAGCUGAUGGAGCGGUUUCUUCCAGGUGCCACCAGUGGAGACUCGAGCCCUUCGGACAUCUUCGACAAGGAUUUUUCUAGAACGAUGCAGGUGUAGAAAUAGCCAGGUGUGAGCAGAGAGAGGAAGCAGUCUGUAGUUAACCAGCACCACUCCUCGGAACUCAUCUAAUGCUGCUGGGCCCAGAGAACUGCUCAGAAUCACAACAAGGCAGUCCACUUUCUUCUAUAGAACACAAAAGGUGAUGAAGAGAUGAAAUUGAAGAGUUAAAGACCCAUUAUGACUCUUGGCAUGGUGGCAUUCCAACUUCUCAGUCCUGGGACAAUAGCAAUAAACAGCACAAUGUAUUCAUGGCAUCCCUUAUUGAUGGAAGUAUUUCGCAUGAAUGUGUAUUUCUCAUGUUUUAUUCAACCUUCAGGAGCUGUUGUAAGAGUUUCACUGUGCAUUAUUUGUUUGAGAAAAAUGUAAGCAAGGCCAAAACCUCUUGAUCAUUCAGAAAUGGAAAGCAGAGAGGCUAUAAACGCACAAUAUUUGGCUGUAUGUGAAGGUUAAACAUUUUUUAUAUUGGGUAUAAUUACAGUAAAGCCCAGAAAAUAUGUCAGAAAUAUUAUAGGCUAACAUUCAAAAACUGAAUUUUAGAAUUUUAUAUUAAUAUAAAAACAACAUAGGCUAUGGUAUUUAUUCUCAGUAAUUUCAGUAAUAAAAAUAAAAAGUUUAGGAUCUUUCAAAGGAUCAGAGAGGCUAUAAACAGAAAAUAUUUGCCUGUAUGUGAAAGCUAAACAUUUUCGAAUUGAAUAUGAUUACAGUAAAACUCUGGGAUGAAGCAACUAUAUCAGAAAUAUUAAAUGCUAACAUUCAAAAACAGCAUUUCUUAAAUUUUAUAUUAAAUUAAUAAAAAACAACAUUAGUAACACUAUUUUAGUGUCCUUGUUACAUGUGUUACAUGUACUUACUAUGGUAGUAACAGUAAAUUAUACAUAAUUACAUGCAACUAACCCUUACCCUAUAGUAAGUACAUGUUAAUUAAUAUUACUCAGUACUUAAAGGCACAAUAUGUAGUUUUUCGCCGCUAGAGGUCGCCUAUUCAAAACAAAGGCGUAGCUUGAUGAUGUCUAGAUUCAUGGGAAUCAUGGGAGAUGUCUUUACCUCACAGCCAGGGGAAAAGAAUCAUGUUCAUGGAUGAGAUUACUGUAGUGUGAAGCAAAGUAGGGCUGAAUGCUGUGCGAGCAAAAACGAGGCCGCUGAAGCGAUUGCUAAUGAGAGACGAGCGCAACACGCCUCAAAAGCAGCGGAACUUUUAGUAUGCCGCAGUCGCCGCCUCAGCUUCUUCCGGUCAAGCGUAUGUGGGGUAACGCAGCGCUGUUUUUUAUCAUAUUAAGGCAGGAACAAAGUUCGUCGGCCGACUAAGUUUUCUCAGUGUGUUCCACACCGUCGGCUGAAGUUGGUCCUCAUCGACAUGUCAAAUCGGCGUCGGAGCUCGUCAGACUGUCGGGCCAUCUGAUCAUUCUGAUUGGCUGUUCAGCUACUGCCACCUGCUGGUACGGAAAGGCACAGAACGGACGUGCUACUUGGUCGUCGGCUGUCAAGCGUCGGUUCGGUGUGUCAGGGCAACUUUGGACCCAGACGCUGCCGACGUGAGCUAACCCCACAGUCUGCUUUCAUCGCCACUAGUUCGUCGGUGUCGGCUUAGUGUGUUCCUGCCUUUAGAUACAUUUGAGUGUGUUUAAAAUUAUGUUAUAACAUUACUCUGUGCGUUCGCUCAGCGGCUACUAUGAGACGCUUAUUGCACAUUGCAGUAAGCUAGAUCGAUAUUAGAAUAUCAUAUCGCUAUAAACAAAAAAAACGAGAUUCAAACAAUAAGACUAAACGUGUUGAGCUAUAUAACAAUGAUUAGUUUUCUGUCUAUAAAUGUAUCCAAACAGUUGUUCCCUUGUCUAAUAAAACAUAUAAUAUAUUUAAGUGUCUUUGGUGUUUCCAUGGUUUUUAUUAAAUAAAACUGGAAAUCGAAGCUAACACAGGAAUGAUGUCCUUGAUAGGCGAUGCACGGACACGGUCCUUGUCCUGGUUAAAAUUGCUUAUUUCUCUGGUUUUAAACAUUCUUGGAAACAUCUGGGAUAAUGUAAGUACACAAGUCAACAAAAUAUAUAACACUGUUCUAGUGGUUUUUGGAUAUUUUAAUCCAAAAAUCUUACAUAUUGUGCCUUUAAUUGUAUAAUUACACUUUAACAAGGACACCUUAAAAUAAAGUGUAACCAUUUUUUUUUCUUCUGUAGUUUCAGUAAUAUAAGAUAUUUAAAAGGAUCUGUGUGGUCCUUAUGUUCAGUAGUAUUCCAUGACAUCAGUUCUUUUUUUUUGUUGUUUUUUCAGUUUAAAAUACAAUUCCAGUGUAUGAAAUUCUGUGAAAAUUAUGUCUCAUGAGAUCCAUUAUGUUCUAGAAAACCUUGGCAUGUCUCUGCAUGUCUUUGCACAUCUGUGUUAAGAUUUAAUGAAGGGUUGACAUUGAAGGGAUUGCAAUAUUGCAGAAACAUUAAAGCAGAGCUGUCUGGAUGAACCUGUUCUCUUCACGUUGACCAUCAGCCUACAUAUUGUCACUGAUGGUAUUUGUAUGUACAAUUUCAAGGUCUUUUAGUGAAAAGAUGGUGAUGGAGGAAUGUAGCAUGACAGAUAUGGAACUUGAGCGCUUUAAACAAAAAGAUAUUGUUUCAUAUGGUGGCAGGGGGCAAGUUUUUCCAAGACCCUAUAAAAGCAUAAAUUGCUAUCUAUGGCUCUUAGUUGUAUAUGUUUAUUAAUCAUGAGACCAUCGG